rnacentral:rRNA from 1 species
AGUGAACGCUGGCGGUAGGCCUAACACAUGCAAGUCGAACGGCAGCACAGUAAGAGCUUGCUCUUACGGGUGGCGAGUGGCGGACGGGUGAGGAAUACAUCGGAAUCUACUUUUUCGUGGGGGAUAACGUAGGGAAACUUACGCUAAUACCGCAUACGACCUACGGGUGAAAGCAGGGGAUCUUCGGACCUUGCGCGAUUGAAUGAGCCGAUGUCGGAUUAGCUAGUUGGCGGGGUAAAGGCCCACCAAGGCGACGAUCCGUAGCUGGUCUGAGAGGAUGAUCAGCCACACUGGAACUGAGACACGGUCCAGACUCCUACGGGAGGCAGCAGUAGGGAAUAUUGGACAAUGGGCGCAAGCCUGAUCCAGCAAUACCGCGUGGGUGAAGAAGGCCUUCGGGUUGUAAAGCCCUGUUGUUGGGAAAGAAAAGCAGCAGGUUAAUACCCCGCUGUUCUGACGGUACCCAAAGAAUAAGCACCGGCUAACUUCGUG